AAAGAACUGUAGGGACUACAGGGUUAGCCUAGGGUAUAUAAGAUAGAUAUAGCGUUGAUUCGAUCAUUUGUCUUUUUCUAGGAAAUUUCUAUUAAAUAGAAAUAGUUCACUAAUUAUUAGUU
rnacentral:ncRNA from 12 species